rnacentral:rRNA from 1 species
GGACUACUCGGGUAUCUAAUCCUGUUUGCUCCCCUAGCUUUCGCGCUUCAGCGUCAGUACCUGUCCAGGUAGCCGCCUUCGCCACUGGUGUUCUUCCCGGUCUCUACGCAUUUCACCGCUACACCGGGAAUUCCGCUACCCUCUCCAGGACUCAAGCCGAACAGUAUCGAAGGCAAUUCCUCAGUUGAGCCGAGGGAUUUCACCUCCGACUUGAUCGGCCGCCUACGCGCCCUUUACGCCCAAUGAUUCCGAACAACGCUAGCCCCCUCCGUAUUACCGCGGCGGCUGGCAC